CGUGCGGUCGCCGUGCCUCGUUGACACCCGUCAUCCAGCGAAAUCUCUCGACAUCCCGCAUCUUCUCGCGCGGACCUCGUUGUCCUCGCUCUCAUCCGGCGCCAUUGGUCUCGGCGGCCCGGAUGAGUCCAUGGUGGGGCUCUGCUCAGCGCCUCGUGUGCACGGGGAGCGGUCCCUAAGGCCCAUGCUGCAGUCCUCUUUCCCCCUCAAUACCCAUCAUCAGGAGGGAAACUGAGGCCCGGAGAGAGGCGAGGAGGGGAGCUCCUGCCGAAGAUGGGCGCCCGAGCCCAGACCCGGCUCCGGGUUCAGUGCUCCUUCCUCUCCUCCCGGCUUGGACCUCUCGGGAUUCGCGUUUCCUGGAGAAAGAGGGCCACGGGGGGCUGAGCGGGUCUCUUGUACACAAGAUGAAAACUCUCCCUUGGAAGGCUUUGCUGGUUCUGCAUCAGCCGGCGCCCUGGUGUCUCCUGAUCCACACUCCUGGACGCCCUCCCAUUGUCCUUAAAGAAGGCAGCUCAGUGCAGGAAGACCCAAGAGAGGUGUCUCCAUCCUGUCAGGAAGCAGCUGGACCAUGAGGUUCCUGAGUGUGGGAUCACAGUCCUGUGUGCCUAGGACUCCGUGUGCUGUGUCUUCAAGAACAAACGGGACCAUGAUGCUUUUAAGGGUGGGUCUAAAUUAAAUCACUGGAGCCAUAUAAAUGAGCUGACCAACAGAAG